rnacentral:rRNA from 1 species
GUGCCAGCAGCCGCGGUAAUACGUAGGUGGCGAGCGUUGUCCGGAUUUACUGGGCGUAAAGGGCUUGUAGGCGGUCCGUUAAGUCCGAUGUGAAAUCUCCCGGCUCAACUGGGAGAGGUCAUUGGAUACUGGCGGACUAGAGGGGGGUAGAGGAAAGCAGAAUUCCUGGUGUAGCGGUGAAAUGCGUAGAUAUCAGGAGGAAUACCAGUGGCGAAGGCGGCUUUCUGGGCCUACCCUGACGCUGAGGAGCGAAAGCGUGGGGAGCAAACCGGAUUAGAUACCCCCGUAGUCC